UACGGAGGGAGCUAGCGUUGUUCGGAAUUAUUGGGCGUAAAGCGCACGUAGGCGGCUUUGUAAGUUAGAGGUGAAAGCCCGGGGCUCAACUCCGGAACUGCCUUUAAGACUGCAUCGCUUGAAUCCAGGAGAGGUGAGUGGAAUUCCGAGUGUAGAGGUGAAAUUCGUAGAUAUUCGGAAGAACACCAGUGGCGAAGGCGGCUCACUGGACUGGUAUUGACGCUGAGGUGCGAAAGCGUGGGGAGCAAACAGG
rnacentral:rRNA from 1 species